GACGAACGCUGGCGGCGUGCUUAACACAUGCAAGUCGAGCGAUGAAGCACCUUCGGGUGUGAAUUAGCGGCGAACGGGUGAGGAACACGUGAAGAAUCUGCCUUCAACUCUGGGAUAACUCCGGGAAACCGGGGCUAAUACCGGACAUGAGCCUUGAUGGCAUGAUCGGGGCUGGAAAGUUUUCCGGUUGAAGAUGACUUCGCGGCCUAUCAGCUUGUUGGUGCGGUAAUGGCUCACCAAGGCGACGACGGGUAGCCGGCCUGAGAGGGCGACCAGCCCGACAGGAGGCGGGAGAAGGCGCAGACUGCGGCGCGAGGGAGCAGUGGGGAAUAUUGGGCCAUGGAGGAAGCGCUGACGCAGCGGCGCCGCGUGAGGGAUGAAGGCCUGCGGGUUGUAAACCUCUCUCAGUAGGGAAGAAGCGAAAGUGACGGUACCUGCAGAGAAGGCACCGGCUAACUACGUGGCAGCCGCCGCGGGAA
rnacentral:rRNA from 1 species